UUUCUAUCUCUUCUGUGGUUCCAGGUUCAGCAAGGAGAACAAGGGCAACAUUGAUCCAUAUAUAUACAUGCCCUUUGGAAAUGGACCCAGGAACUGCCUAGGCAUGAGGUUUGCUCUCAUCAGCAUGAAACUUGCUGUCAUAGGAGUCCUGCAGAACUUCACUGUCCAGCCUUGUGAAGAGACACAGAUCCCCCUGAAGAUCAGCAGGGAACCAAUUUUCCAACCAGAAAAACCCAUCAUCCUAAAGGUUGUGUCAAGAGAUAAACCCAGAACUGGAUCAUGAAAUUCUCUUAGAAACCAUGUUAUAUUCCUCAAGGAGACUGUGUCACAGAACAUCAGAGAAUUUAAUUAACCUUAGGACAACAUAAUAUGGGCAUAAACAACUUUCCUUGAUGAUUGAAUAUUCAGAAAUUCACUGAACAUGCUCAGUGGCUCUGCAGUGUAUCAUCUAUUUUGUGAUUCAAAGGAAAUUAUUAACUCAAUGGUAGUUGUGGAUGUUCAUCCUCUGAUUCUUGUGGGAAUGUGUACACUAAUUCAAGUUAGUUCCAUCCAUUCUGAAUUCUAACUGCAGCAACUAUUUCUCUAUAGUUCUAUUAAUAGAAACUGUUGUAAUGAUGGUUAGUAAAUGUGUAUCAAGUUUUCUCUUUGUUAAAAUGUACGGUAUUAAGUGUAUAAAUACAUAUAUCUUAUAAAA